GUAGGUGGCAAGCGUUGUCCGGAAUUAUUGGGCGUAAAGCGCGCGCAGGCGGUCCUUUAAGUCUGAUGUGAAAGCCCACGGCUCAACCGUGGAGGGUCAUUGGAAACUGGGGGACUUGAGUACAGAAGAGGAAAGCGGAAUUCCAAGUGUAGCGGUGAAAUGCGUAGAGAUUUGGAGGAACACCAGUGGCGAAGGCGGCUUUCUGGUCUGUAACUGACGCUGAGGCGCGAAAGCGUGGGGAGCAAACAGGGAUUAGAUACCCUGGUAGUCCACGCCGUAAACGGUGAGUGCUAAGUGUUAGGGGGUUUCCCGCCCCCUUAGUGCUGCAGCUAACGCAUUAAGCACUCCGCCUGGGGAGUACGGCCGCAAGGCUG
rnacentral:rRNA from 1 species